GAGAGGUUUGUUUUGUUCAUGUGUGGAGAGGUGGCUGCAGUCAGUGAUGAUUUUACAACACGCUGUCUCCUGCUGUUUAAAGUAUUUAGGCUGGGAUGAAAUGUUUUCUAAUAAUUAGUGAUUUUUGUGUUUGUUUAUUACCUGCACGGAGUUCCGUGAAAAGGAAAGCAUCCCUUUUCUGUGUUGAAUUUCACACACAGAGCGGAGCGCGUCAGUCGCAGCUACAGACAAGUCGAGCUUUUCAAUGAGAUGAUUUACUGAGAAACAAACGCGUUGAAGCUCCAGCAGAGCUCUGCGCGAUUCUGAAAGACCAAAGUAAAGUUACUCCUUGCAAAGCAUGUUGUUUGUGUUCUUUCUUUAUCACACCAGAAGAAGUGAUGAAUAUAUUUGAAUGGGAAGGCUACAGUAAAAAAUAAAUAUUACUAAAUACAAACCGCAGGCGGUGUUUCUGAUUGAAAAGAGGAUUCCGCUAGACCAGUGUGAAACUCAAACCAGUGAAGAUGGACGCGUCAGUGUGUCCGUGUCGCUCAAGACGAGCUCGCCUCUACCAUCGAGCACGCAGUGAAAGCGGCUCUACACACCGUCUUGUGUGCGAUUACUAAAGCUGUCGGCAGCAAAUUCACUGAAUUCAGAGUGGAAAUGGAACAAAAAGGAGAAAGAGAAUGAAAGUCUGAAGCUGAGAUUGGAAAUAUCACAGAACGAGCUGAAAGCUGUGCGAGCGUGUAUAAACGCUGCAGAUGCAGACAUUAAACAGCCUUUAAUAUUUCAAGAGGCAGAGGAUUCAGGUGACAGUGAUGCUGAACUGGACAGUGAUGGACUCAAAGGAGAGCGGGAGUUGGGAGACAAUAUGAUGGAGAAAAGAGCUGACAUGGAUUCUGAAGUGGUCCU